UACGGAGGGGGCUAGCGUUGUUCGGAAUUACUGGGCGUAAAGCGCACGUAGGCGGCUUUGUAAGUUAGAGGUGAAAGCCCGGGGCUCAACUCCGGAAUUGCCUUUAAAACUGCAUCGCUAGAGUUGUGGAGAGGUAAGUGGAAUUCCGAGUGUAGAGGUGAAAUUCGUAGAUAUUCGGAAGAACACCAGUGGCGAAGGCGGCUUACUGGACACAUAUUGACGCUGAGGUGCGAAAGCGUGGGGAGCAAACAGG
rnacentral:rRNA from 1 species